ACGGUUUGAAUUUGAAUUUAAUUAUUUACAGUAUUCCUUAUAAUUUGUUCCUGUGGUUAAUGAUUUCUGUAACAGGAGGUAUGUUGCAUUGCCGGUAGAUGUCAUGUUAUAGCGUUAAAUUCAAACUUGCAUUUAAAACACAAAAAGUAACAUCAACACGUUCAGUUUUUUCAUUCAUUUUUUUGUAUCUCGGUUAUCAUUCAAUUUGAGUUCUUUUGAAAAUGCAUUUCGAAUAUCGUUCUUUUUCCAUCGUAGCCUCUCACAGAGUAACAACGAAAUUUUGGCGAGCAGUAGAGUUUAAAGUCGGCAUUUUUUGAAAUUUAUUAUGGUAGCUGAAUUAAUUUUUCUGCUAAGGCAAUAAUCAAUUUAAUUUGGAUAGCCUAGUCAAAUCAAGUAUUUAUUUUGUGAGCUACAAUUGAGUGAAAAUCCUCGACAACGAGGAUUUUUAUUAUAUGGUAAUUUUUUUUUCUAUUGGACGUAUUGGUAUCAUUCAAGAUCUUCACGAAAAUUGCGAGUUAAUGGUGCAUACCUCCUGGGAAAAUUGUUCAAUUGGUCCUACAUUUGUUGCUAGAGAUUUUCAUACCGUUUCAUUUUGAGUCACUUGGUACAGUUGGCUUGGGGGGGAGAUUCACCCUAAUUUUAAGAUAAGUUCCUUCUCAUGGUUUUUUCUUUUUCUUCAUUGUUGAUUAGAUACAAUUUUGGAUAUAAUAUUAAAUUCACCUUUGGCACAUUUCCUUUUCUAAAUUUUUAUUAUAUUUUCUCAUAUUAACAUUACCAAUAUUUGAAUAUUGUAAUUUUCACAUUAUAUUCAGUAUAUUUAAUAUUCCAGAUUUGUAUUCGCAGUUCUCAAAGUUUAGUACUCAUAAUUUCAUAUUGUCUUAUAUUUCAACUUAUCCAAAUUGAGUAUUUUUUUUUAAAUUUUCUUAAUCGUAUAUUUUUCCAAAUUCAACUUCAUCCUUAUUCUUAGAGAUUACAUUCCAUAUUAGCUUGAUACUUUAAAUUUUUCAUCAUUCACAUUUUGACUGCUUUAACUAGAACUUCAUUAUCUAAAUUACUCAUUAGUGUAUAAUUGUCCUAAGUGCACGGUAUUGCAAUCUUUCGAUUCAGUCUAUUAGAACUAAGAAUUAUAUAUUUGUAAGAAACUUAUUAGAUUAUAGUUAUUGUUAUUUCAGAUUUAAAAA